UGGGGAAUAUUGGACAAUGGGCGAAAGCCUGAUCCAGCAAUGCCGCGUGUGUGAUGAAGGCCUGCGGGUUGUAAAGCACUUUCGUUGGGGAAGAAAUGAUUAAGAGUAAUAUCCUUAAUUUUGACGUUACCCAAAGAAGAAGCACCGGCUAACUCUGUGCCAGCAGCCGCGGUAAUACAGAGGGUGCAAGCGUUAAUCGGAGUUAUUGGGCGUAAAGGGCGCGUAGGUGGAUACUUAAGUCAAUUGUGAAAUACCCGGGCUUAACCUGGGAAGUGCAUUUGAUACUGGGGGUCUAGAGUAUGGGAUGGGAAAGCGGAAUUCCCGGUGUAGCGGUAAAAUGCGUAGAGAUCGGGAAGAACACCAGUGCGAAGGCGGCUUUCUGGACCAAUACUGACACUGAGGCGCGAAAGCGUGGGGAGCAAACA
rnacentral:rRNA from 1 species